UACAGAGGUCUCAAGCGUUGUUCGGAUUCAUUGGGCGUAAAGGGUGCGUAGGCGGCGCGGUAAGUCGGGUGUGAAAUCUCGGGGCUUAACUCCGAAACUGCAUUCGAUACUACCGUGCUUGAGGACUGGAGAGGAGACUGGAAUUUACGGUGUAGCGGUGAAAUGCGUAGAUAUCGUAAGGAAGACCAGUGGCGAAGGCGGGUCCCUGGACAGUUCCUGACGCUGAGGCACGAAGGCCAGGGGAGCAAACGGG
rnacentral:rRNA from 1 species